rnacentral:rRNA from 1 species
UGGGGAAUUUUGGACAAUGGGCGAAAGCCUGAUCCAGCAAUGCCGCGUGUGUGAAGAAGGCCUUCGGGUUGUAAAGCACUUUUGUCCGGAAAGAAAUCCUCUGGGUUAAUACCUCGGGGGGAUGACGGUACCGGAAGAAUAAGCACCGGCUAACUACGUGCCAGCAGCCGCGGUAAUACGUAGGGUGCAAGCGUUAAUCGGAAUUACUGGGCGUAAAGCGUGCGCAGGCGGUUUUGUAAGACGGAUGUGAAAUCCCCGGGCUUAACCUGGGAACUGCAUUCGUGACUGCAAGGCUAGAGUAUGGCAGAGGGGGGUAGAAUUCCACGUGUAGCAGUGAAAUGCGUAGAGAUGUGGAGGAAUACCGAUGGCGAAGGCAGCCCCCUGGGCCAAUACUGACGCUCAUGCACGAAAGCGUGGGGAGCAAAACAGGAUUCAGGAUACCCUGGUAGUCCACGCCCUAAACGAUGUCAACUAGUUGUUGGGGAUUCAUUUCCUUAGUAACGUAGCUAACGCGUGAAGUUGACCGCCUGGGGAGUACGGUCG